rnacentral:rRNA from 1 species
UACGUAGGGGGCAAGCGUUAUCCGGAUUUACUGGGUGUAAAGGGAGCGUAGGCGGCGAUGCAAGUCAGAAGUGAAAGCCCGGGGCUCAACUCCGGGACUGCUUUUGAAACUGUAUGGCUAGAUUGCAGGAGAGGCAAGUGGAAUUCCUAGUGUAGCGGUGAAAUGCGUAGAUAUUAGGAGGAACACCAGUAGCGAAGGCGGCUUGCUGGACUGUAAAUGACGCUGAGGCUCGAAAGCGUGGGGAGCAAACAGG